rnacentral:lncRNA from 1 species
AAACUUACUAUAAAUGGUGAUUGAUCACAACCCCAAACUUAGCUCAUUGCUUUUCCUAAGUAAUAUUUCGGUAUCACUCCCCAUAAUUCUUUAUGUUAUCCACCACUGCUGAGAUCAUUCGCAAACGUCUUCCCUUUUCCUUCCAUAAGUCCUACCCCUCCUUGUAAGUCAUCAUUCACACUUCCACUUUAAAGCACCGUUUCACCUGUCAGCUUAUUUUACAUUCUCACCAAUUCUCUCGGGGUUAACUGUUUACACUCAUAAUUCGAAGUAUGCAAUAUUACUCAUAAGUUUGAAUAGUCUCUCUUUUCUCAUCACCUACACAUAACACACACACUUUUGAGGUCGUUAGGGUUGUAGCUUGGCUUGGGUUUGGGUAUGGAUUCACAAAAAAAGGAACACGAGGGGCUUUUGGCUCAGAGUCGAUGUUAUAUCCUGUGUUGGUUUCUUUUAUUUCCUCGGUUUUCUUUUCUUAUUUCUUGAAUUUUUUUACCGACUACCCUUUUCCGUGCUUCUUUCUUUUGAAUCAUCGAGUAUUUGAUUUUUAUUUUUCUUUCUUUUUCUCGAUUCAUCACUUUUCUCUUUUUCUCUUGUUUUUGCACUUUCUAGGGCUUUGAGAGCUUUUGGGAU